UCUGUCACUUGGGAGGAAUUCUACACUGUCGUACUUACACCACGUCAUUAAUAACAAGCCAAUCAUAUUUCUUAUUUUCAAACAAAAUUAAGUACAAUAAAAAUAUUUUUUUGCAAUCAUAAUGGGACAUGUACCCCUAAAAAGAAGAAAUUGUAUAUUGUCACACUUGCACCACGUCAUCAAUAAUAAGCCAAUCAUAUUUUUUCUUUUCAAGCAAAAGCACAAUAAAAAUAUUUUUUUGUAAUCAUGAUAAGACAUAUAUUUCUAAAAGGAGACAUUUGAUUGGUUUAUUAUGCCACGUCACCAAUAUGCCCGUCGCAUUUUAGAACUUUUCUCUAAAAGAAGACAUUUGAUUGGUUUGUUAUGACACUUCACCAAUAUAUUCGUUGCAUUCUAGAAUCUUUCGUCACUUGGACAUGGAUAGCUGUAUAUCGGUCUUUAAAAUCGGGAUG
rnacentral:lncRNA from 1 species